GGACUACUGGGGUUUCUAAUCCUGUUUGCUCCCCACGCUUUCGCACCUCAGCGUCAGUACCGGGCCAGUGAGCCGCCUUCGCCACUGGUGUUCUUGCGAAUAUCUACGAAUUUCACCUCUACACUCGCAGUUCCACUCACCUCUCCCGGACUCAAGUCUUCCAGUAUCGAAGGCAGUUCUGGAGUUGAGCUCCAGGAUUUCACCACCGACUUAAAAGACCGCCUACGUGCGCUUUACGCCCAGUAAUUCCGAGCAACGCUAGCCCCCUUCGUAUUACCGCGGCUGCUGGCAC
rnacentral:rRNA from 1 species